GAAAUAUAAGGCCCUUGUAUGUGCCCCCAAUAGCCAUAUUCUUCACAGGUUGACUUUGUGAUAUACUUGGAGAUAAAUCAAUAUGCACAAAAAUGGGAGAAAUUUUAUUUCCAGAGAGGCAUGUUUUGCCAUCUGAGUCUCUAUGAAACAACUUCCAUGAUUGAUGUCUAAAAUAUUUCUCACUGGGAGUGAGAAAUCUCAGUCUAAGCCCUGACAAAGCCCUGCAGCUCCACAUUCAUUACCUAGACAGAGUGUUAUAUUCAGCGAAAAGGUGUGACAGCGACUUUCUUGAACUCUGGGGAUCAAACUCAGGAUGUUGUGUUUGUCAGGCAGAUGCAGUGCCACUGAGCUACAUCCCCAGCCCCAAGAAUGGCUUUUCUCUAAGAAGAUGUACACUGAAGAUUUUAGGGAUAAAGGGACAUAUGAGUUAUGAUUGCAAAAUACAGUGAAUGUUUGAACUGAAAAAAUAAUUAUUACAGUAAAAAACACAUGGCCAUUAAUCUUCUCCAAAAUUCUCCCCCUUACUUCAAACACUCUGAGUCCAUCAUUCUUGACAUUUUCUGAAGCAGCUCUGGAAGUCCUCUUUUGUGACUGUCUUUAGUUGAGCUGUCCUGGCUGCCUUGAUGUGCUGAGUCAAUUCUAAAUGUGUUUACCUUUCAUGGUCAUUUUGACUUUGUGGAAGAGCCAGAAGUUCUAGAGGCCAGAUCAGGUGAAUCAGGCGGCUGAGGAAUCACUGCCAUGUUUUUAGAAGCCUGCCUUUCCACUGCAUGGUACUUGGCAGCAGCAUUCACUGUAUGUUUAAAUUGUAUCUUGUGAAGACACUCAUGAAAGGGGAUUUCCAGAACUGCUUCCAAAAGUGGCAAGAAUGGUGGGAUAAAUGAGGAGGGUUAAUGGCAAUAUGUCUUCUGCUGUAAUAAUUUUUUAAAAGUUUAAACAUUCACUGCAUAUUUUGAUCACAUCUCGUGAUAUCUUCACCUUAUAAAUGUUAAGGGAAUGAAAGACAACAAAUGGAAAAAUAGGGAAACAGUAAAUCUGGGUAAAGGAUAUGUGGGAAUUCUUUGUCCUACUUAUUUUUAUACCUUUUCUGUGCAUUUGAAAUUAUAUCAAAAAUAAGAUUAAAAAAUAAUGACAGAAUUCUUUACUUAAAAUGGUGAGAUAUUUUGUGGAGUGAUGUUUUAGUAUAGAAGGUAUUUUCCUCACUUACUUGAAUUCACUGUUAAAAAUCUGCUUCUUUGCCCACAGAAGGAAAUAAUACCUAGUAACACUACUGCAUCCUGACAUUUAAUAUUAAGCUUAAUUUGGGAACAGAACAUGGAAAAAGGAUGCAGGAUAUGUCAAGUUUCUGGCAUUUCGAGGACCAGGGAACUGCUAAUGGUGACAUCACUGCAAAUGAGUUACAGAGAUUGUCCUCAUUUCAAAGACCACAGAGUUAGA
rnacentral:lncRNA from 1 species